CAGUCGCCGCGGUAAUACGUAGGGUGCGAGCGUUAAUCGGAAUUACUGGGCGUAAAGCGUGCGCAGGCGGUUCGUUAAGACAGAUGUGAAAUCCCCGGGCUUAACCUGGGAACUGCAUUUGUGACUGGCGAGCUAGAGUAUGGCAGAGGGGGGUAGAAUUCCACGUGUAGCAGUGAAAUGCGUAGAGAUGUGGAGGAAUACCGAUGGCGAAGGCAGCCCCCUGGGCCAAUACUGACGCUCAUGCACGAAAGCGUGGGGAGCAAACAGGAUUAGAUACCCCUGUAGUCCUGUCUCUUAUACC
rnacentral:rRNA from 1 species